rnacentral:tRNA from 1 species
AGGUCAGUAGUUCAGUUGGUAGAGCAUCGGUCUCCAAAACCGAGUGUCGCGGGUUCGAGUCCUGCCUGACCUG